AGUGCCACCGGGUCGAUCCCGCGGGUGACGACGAGAUAGUCGCGGAUCACGAUGCCGUGCCGGUUUUC
rfam:Mycobacterium terrae strain CIP 104321 contig_14, whole genome shotgun sequence.